GGUCAAGCUACAAAGGGCACACGGUGGAUGCCUGGGCGCCAAGGGCCGAGGAAGGACGUGGCUAGGCUGCGAAAAGCCGCGGGGAGCUGUCAUGCUAGCUUCGAUCCGCGGAUCUCCGAAUGGGGCAACCCCUCCCGGGUCAUGCCGGGAGACCCGUACCUGAAUCCAUAGGGUACGGGAGGCAAGUGGGGGAACUGAAACAUCUUAGUACCCCGAGGAAAAGAGAUUAUUCCCCUAGUAGUGGUGAGCGAACGGGGAGAAGCCCAAACCGCUGGCACUUAGUGGGUUCGCGCCCUAUGUGUCGGCGGGGUUGUACGCCUCCGUCGUCACGCCGCGAAGCGUGACAGGGAGUUACAAACCGUUUCUCUAGGCGAAGGGUCCUGGAAGGGCCCACCACAGAGGGUGAGAGUCCCGUAGACGAAAGAGGAACGGCUCCCGCGGAUGAGCGUGAGUACCACGGGGCACGGGGAAUCCUGUGGGAAGCAGGGGGGACCACCUCCCAAGGCUAAAUACCCUUGGCGACCGAUAGCGGAUAGUACCGUGAGGGAAAGGCGAAAAGAACCCCGCUAAGGGGAGUGAAAUAGAACCUGAAACCGUGUGCCUACAAGCAGUCAGAGGGCGUCUGUCCUUCUUCGGAAGGACGGCCUCAUGGCGUGCCUAUUGAAGAAUGAGCCGGCGAGUUACACGUUGCAGCGGGUUAAGUCGCUUAAGCGACGGAGCCACAGCGAAAGCGAGUCUGAAUAGGGCGAGGUCCCCUUCGGGGGACACGUUGCAACGCGUAGACCCGAAACCGGGUGAGCUAUCCAUGGCCAGGGUGCAGGUCCGGUAAAACGGACUGAAGGCCCGAACCUUUCAGCGUUGCAAAGCUGCGGGAUGAGCUGUGGAUAGGGGUGAAAUGCCAAACGAACCCGGAGAUAGCUGGUUCUCCCCGAAAUGCAUUUAGGUGCAGCCUCGGAUCGGACUCCCACGGAGGUAGGGCUCUGAAUGGGCUAGGGGGCAUACCGCCUACCAAACCCAAUCAAACCACAAAUGCCGUGCGGAGGGUGACCGGGAGUGAGACGGCGGGGGCUAAGCUUCGUCGUCGAGAGGGAAAAAGCCCAGACCGCCAGCUAAGGUCCCUAAGUCCAGGCUAAGUGGAAAAGGAUGUGGGAUUGCCCAAACAGCCAGGAGGUUGGCUUAGAAGCAGCCACCCUUUAAAGAGUGCGUAAUAGCUCACUGGUCGAGUGGUCCCGCGCCGACAAUGUAACGGGGCUCAAGCCUGGUACCGAAGCUGCGGAUCCCGCCUAAGGCGGGAUGGUAGGGGAGCGUUCCGUUCAGCAGAGAAGGUCGAUCGUGAGGACGGCUGGAGCGGACGGAAGUGAGAAUGCCGGCAUGAGUAGCGGAAAAACCCGGUGCGAAACCGGGUCACCGAAAGCCUGAGGUUUCCUCCGCAACGUUAAUCGACGGAGGGUUAGUCGGGCCUAAGCCGAGGCCGCAAGGCGUAGGCGAUGGACAACGGGUUAAUAGUCCCGUACCGCCCGCGUUCGUUACCAGCGAAGGGGGGACGCAGACGGGCUGGCGCAGCGUAGUGCUGGAGUUACUACGUCUAAGCGUUCAAGGAGGUCGGGGAGGCAAAUCCCCCCGGCACUACUCCAAGGCGUGAUGGGGAGCUGGCGGGCAACCAAAAGCGACUGCGUCGGGCUCAAGCUGCCAGGAAAAGCCUCUAGCGAGAACACGGGCGCCCGUACCGCAAACCGACACAGGUAGGCAAGGGUAAGUACCCACAGGUGAACGGGAGAACCCUCGUUAAGGAACUCGGCAAAUUGACCCCGUAACUUCGGGAGAAGGGGUCCCUCUGGGGUGUAAAAGCCCUGGAGGGCGCAGAGAACAGGCCCAGGCGACUGUUUAACAAAAACACAGGUCUCUGCUCAAGCCGCAAGGCGAUGUAUAGGGGCUGACGCCUGCCCAGUGCCGGAAGGUUAAGGGGAGGGCUUUUAAAAGGCUCGAACCGAAGCCCCGGUGAACGGCGGCCGUAACUAUAACGGUCCUAAGGUAGCGAAAUUCCUUGUCGGGUAAGUUCCGACCCGCACGAAUGGCGUAACGAUCUGGGCGCUGUCUCAACGAGGGACCCGGUGAAAUUGCAGUAUGCGUGAAGAUGCGCAUUACCCGCGACUGGACAAAAAGACCCCGUGGAGCUUUACUGCAGCUUGGCAUGGAGCUUGGGUCAAGGAUGCGUAGGAUAGGUGGGACCCGAUGAAGCGGCCCUCGUGGGGGUCGUGGAGGGGACGGUGAAAUACCACUCUUUCUUGAUCUUGGUUCUCACCCUCGACCGUAAUCCGGCGAGGGGACAGUGCCUGGUGGGCAGUUUGACUGGGGCGGUCGCCUCCCAAAGAGUAACGGAGGCGCCCAAAGGUUCCCUCAGGGUGGAUGGAAAUCACCCAUGGCGUGCAUUGGCAUAAGGGAGCUUGACUGCGAGCCCAACAAGGCGAGCAGGGACGAAAGUCGGGCAAAGUGAUCCCACGGUACCGAGUGGAAGGGCCGUGGCUUAACGGAUAAAAGCUACCCCGGGGAUAACAGGCUGAUCUUGCCCAAGAGUCCAUAUCGACGGCAAGGUUUGGCACCUCGAUGUCGGCUCGUCGCAUCCUGGGGCUGGAGUAGGUCCCAAGGGUUGGGCUGUUCGCCCAUUAAAGCGGUACGCGAGCUGGGUUCAGAACGUCGUGAG
rnacentral:rRNA from 1 species